GACGAACGCUGGCGGCGUGCUUAACACAUGCAAGUCGAACGGUAAGGCCCCAGCUUGCUGGGGUACACGAGUGGCGAACGGGUGAGUAACACGUGGGUGACCUGCCCUGCACUUCGGGAUAAGCCUGGGAAACUGGGUCUAAUACCGGAUAGGACCGCACCGUGAGGGGGUGGUGGAAAGUUUUUCGGUGUGGGAUGGGCCCGCGGCCUAUCAGCUUGUUGGUGGGGUAAUGGCCUACCAAGGCGGCGACGGGUAGCCGGCCUGAGAGGGUGGACGGCCACAUUGGGACUGAGACACGGCCCAGACUCCUACGGGAGGCAGCAGUGGGGAAUAUUGCACAAUGGGCGGAAGCCUGAUGCAGCGACGCCGCGUGGGGGAUGACGGCCUUCGGGUUGUAAACUCCUUUCACCAUCGACGAAGGUUUUCUGACGGUAGAUGGAGAAGAAGCACCGGCUAACUACGUG
rnacentral:rRNA from 1 species